rnacentral:lncRNA from 1 species
UUUUUUUUUUUUUUUUUUUAGUGUAAGUGAGAAGAUUUCGAACCCAAAAUCUAUCAUUUACACUAUCUCUCUCGUACCAUCAAACUCAUUAUUCAUGGUUUUUGUAUAUUGCUAUCUUCAAAGUAAACGCUUUAGUUUAGCGUGGAUGGUAUGUUUGUUUGGACAGAGGAUUAUUUGUCAAAAUUUAUUUGUUUACAUCAUCAUUACAAUUUUCAACACAUCUUUUUAUCUUCCCAAUUACCUUUUUAUCUCAUAUGCAUCAUAUCACAAAAAGUGUUACAGUAAAAAUAUUUCAAAUAAUUUACAAUCCAAACAGAAGUGCAAGCAUGGUUAAGUGCCAAAUUGAUUUAGUCUAGAUACAAUAAUAAUUACGGAACUGAUACUACCCUCCCGCAAGGUUAUGGUUUUUUGUCGUCCUGAUUUGCCAGGCUUAAUAGACCGAUGGAAGCCAAUUUUGGAGAAUGCAUCUCGGGUGAGCCCAAAUGUAGUCCACAUAUCCUACAAUUGUAAAGUUAAAUCCAAGCCUGGCCUGCCGAGUGAGCUCAAGAUCGAACAUUUCAGGACUAAAAUACGACGAGCCCAACUAUGGAGGAAACCAGGUGUUCUCUAAUUCUCAUCCAUUUUGAUAUGUAUUUUUUUCACAGAAACCAGCAGGAUUCAAAUGGAGAAUAAGAAUUAAUUUGAUACUAACCAAUCAACUGGGCUGACUUCAAAGUUGUAGAAUUACAAACCCGCCCAGUACAAGGUGGAUUCCAAACACGUAGAAUAACAAACAAGGGCCCAACAGAACCGGUGGAAUUUGUCGGUUUUAUCAGCGCAGAGGUGCUUCCUAUCACUUUAAUUUCUUUCGGAGGUCAAGGCAUGCCAUUGCUUGGAUUACACGUUAUUUUUAUCUUAUUUAUUUAUAUUAUUAAUAUAUUUUUCAAUCACUUUUUUAUUUCACAUACAUUACAUUAAAAAAAUAUUACAGUAUUUUUUCACAAAAUUAUCCCAAAUAAUUUACUGUCCCGACACAGUGAUUCUUAUAGAUGGCUUAGCAACGGUGUUUCAAUUGAUAAUGAAACGGUUUAUGAUGAUUUUUACAAUUUAUCUAUCGAUGAUAGUUUAAACAAUAACAAGAUUCAAAUUAAAAUGCCCUCAAUACAAAGGCCAAAUCUUUAUCAUCUUAAUUACUGGACAAGAACCACUAUACCAAGUAGCUCAUAAACAUCACGGGUCCUUACAACACAAAAAGGAGAGACAAAAAGAGAGGAAAAACAAUUGAAACCUUUAAAUUAGGGAAAUUAGCAUGUAAAUGCCAUGAAAAUGUUAACGAAGAAGGACUCUAUGCAUUCCCUCCAAUAAUUUGAGGAGUAAAAGCUGUAGUAAGUAUUUGUUUUUAGGGGAAUAAAAGGACCCCAAAAGAAAUAAAGGCUUAUUUAUGCCUAGGGAAAGAAUAGAAGUCCAAAAAUCAGAAACUUCCGGAACUAUCAAGAACUUUCUAGAACUAUUUACAAGCGUCCUCGUGUGGCCGCCACAGCAGACCAGCUGUCCCACAAAAUCUCAAGACCCAGCACAGACUUCCAAAGGACAGAAUUGUCAAAGAAUCUUCCCAUAAAGUUCCUCAAAAGGCCAACGAACUCUCCACUCCCCUCUAAAUAUCUCUUCUUCCCUCCAGAAAAUUUCAAUCCUGCCCCAUAAAUAACGCGUCAUUCUCCCCUAAAUUCUUUCCAACAUCCCAUUUCCUAAUUCCCUUCUGCCAAAAUCUUCUUCGCUCGAAAAUGACUUAGCUCCAUAACUCCUCAGUCCACUGCCUGCCUGCUCAGUACUCAAACACACAUACCAAACCCAAUAAAGAUUGAAUUUUUACUUCACAAUCAAGCUAUGGAAAAUGUGACCAUCAAGAUAGAAGAAGAGGAAGAGGGCUUCGUCUUUCCAUUCAGUGAUGGCGGAAGCACUGGUGCUGCUGCUGGUUCAUCUUCGUCGCCGAGGCCAAUGGAGGGCUUGCAUGACAUGGGACCCCCACCGUUCUUGACCAAGACAUUUGAUAUGGUGGAAGAUCCUUCAACUGAUUCAGUAAUCUCGUGGAGUAAAGCUAGAAAUAGCUUCGUUGUUUGGGAUUCCCAUAAGUUUUCCACAUCUCUGCUUCCCAAGUACUUCAAGCACAGUAAUUUCUCAAGCUUCGUCCGCCAGCUUAAUACCUAUGUAAGUACUGGCUACUACUUUUUCGAAUAGUGUAAUCAAGUUUUGAUAUUUCUUUGAUGUUACUGACUAAUUGUGCCUAAUUCCUAAUGGGUUGCUUUCCAUUUUCUGUUUCAUUUGAGUUCAGUUCAACUUUGGGUUGUGGCCGAACCGUUUUAUUGGAUUCAACGUUCUAGCACAAUUUGAUCUUUUCUUGGUUACUUUGUCCGCUGAAUGCGGUUUAGUAUUUGGUUUUGAUGUUUUGUCUUCAUUUUCUUUGUGGUUUGUAAAUUGUUGAGAUGUUCUGCGUAAUGGGGAUGCGAUUUGAGUGCCCUGCCCUCUUUACGUUUGAUGCAAAUUGGUGCACUCGACCAAAUGUUGUUGUUUGCUUCCUGCUGUUAUAAAUGUUCUAUUGAGUAUCUUUUGAUAAUCCUGCUGCAGCUUUUAUAUUUUUUUGGUGCAUUUUUAUCGUUAAUAAACUGCUGGUGAUCUUGAUGAACUUUAACAAUAGCAUAAUAUGCUUAGUUGGUACUGUGACACUAUUAGGUUGAUUCAUCUUCUUGUGAUGCAGAUUAAGUUAACGGUAAGUAGAUAAUGGAUUAGUUGGUCCUGAAUGAGUGCAUUUGAUUGCAGGGUUUCAGAAAAGUGGAUCCCGAUCGUUGGGAAUUUGCAAAUGAGUGUUUCCUUGGCGGGCAGAAACAUCUCCUGAAGACCAUCAGGAGGAGAAGGAAUGUCAUACCAAGCAUUACCCAACAAGAAGGAGGCGGUCCUUGUGUUGAAUCAGGGCACUAUGACUUGGAAGAAGAAAUUGAAAGACUUAAGAGCGACAGAAACUCGUUGAUGGCCGAAGUCAUUAAACUUAAACAGCAACAGCAGACUGCAAGGGACCAUGUCAUGGCGAUGGACGAAAGAAUUAAGGGUACGGAGAAAAAACAACAGCAGACAAUGAGUUUCCUAGCCAGAGCUUUUAGUAAUCCGACUUUUCUCCAGCCAUAUGUGGAUAGACAUCGACAGAGACAAGAACAACAGCGAAUUCAGAUUGGGCAUAAGAGGAGGCUGACAAUGACCCCCAGUGUGGAGAACCUGCAAGAAGUGGCAUCAAUCGCUGCGGAUGCUGAUCAACUUCUCAAUGACUCAGGUGGAGAGCAAGAGCUGGUGAAUAUGCAAAGAGAGAUGGAGACUUUGCUAUUUACUGCAGCAUUGGAUGACGAACCAAGCAGUAUUGUAAACUUGAAUUCACCGUCAAUUCCUACUAGCAGUGCUGCCAAUGUCGAUCCAGUUGCUGAACACAUAUGGGAGGAAUUGCUUACUGGAGAUCUUGUUACUGAAAAUGAAGCAGAAGUUGUGUUGUUGGGAGAUCAACCAGAGGCUGAUGUGGAGGUUGAGGAUUUGGUUGCUGAAACACCUGAGUGGGGUGAGGGUUUCAGUGACCUUGUCGAUCAAAUGGGAUAUCUUAUCGCCAAGCCUGACGAUACGAGCAAAUGAGGCUAAAUGAUUCUCUGAUGUCCUUGACACACAUUCCUGUCUGAGAUUAAGUAUGCCUCAAAAAUUUCGACUUGCCUUUUUCUGCUGUUCUGCAGCAGCUAAUGCUAAUGCUUGUUUACCGUAUAGGCGGGAGGUGAUGGUUGCAUGGAGGCCAAUCAACUGAUCCUGCUUUUCUGUAUCCUUUUAAUAUCUCAUGGAAAAUAUUUGUAUUCUAGAGUUUCUUAAAGUCUAGAAAGUUUUCCUCUUUUUGACUAGUCUACAUCUUUUGGUGCGUUUUGCAGAUGCAGAUGCUUAGAGAAUGUCACGAGGGAGUCACCUCCAUCAUUCUUUACCGUGUCUUUUGCUCUUCUUGCCCCGUCUCAUUUUGUAUGUUGUUGACUUGUAGUAUCAAGUUCAGAUUUCUUUUGUGUAUGUAUAAAGGUAUUCUUUCAUGCAAAAAUUUUAGCAGUGUCAUCUUAUCGUGGUUUCAUUCUGCUGAAAUUUCUAAAUUUGCUUUUCAUGAUUGAAUCCAUAUAGCCCAAGUGCUCAAUUCUAUGCUCGGCAAAUGGUUGUCCGACAAGGUUUUAUGCUUGGGGCUUGUACUGAUUAAAGUGAUAUAGCAUCACGCUGAAACUCUUUUGCAGGAAAACUAACCUGGCUUCACACAGUAGCUGUAAAAUCUUGGAGGCUGGACUCUGACCGGAGAGGUGGCACAACCUAUUCGAUGUUGCAGAAGGUCGAAGCAGAAUGCAGGUGGGUUAUGGAUCAGGCCUUUUAGAGAGAAUUAACGGACCAGGACAAGCUAUGCUGCUUCCAACCACUCCCCAUAAAACAGAACAUUUGAGGCAGCGUUUGGCUUUUGAUUACAGGGUUAUUGUGAAGCUUCUCGAUCUCCACCUGUGAAAAGGGAAGUCCCUCUGUUACAUUACGGGUUGAGGAUUGCAGCUGCUUGCUUAACCUUGACAGGAAUGCAAAGUUAACAUUUUUGCUCCAUUUAUUUUUAGGCUACAAAAGAAGAUGGAAACGUUUAAUCAGGGUACCAGCAUUAAUCUUGGAUUCAAGAAUUCUUUAGCGGUUUUACUCUUUUUCCUUUUUCGUGAUUUCUCCAGCUGAUUCCUUUUGCAUUUUUGUUGGUGGCAGUCCGAAUUGACUUUGGUGGUUGCUUGGUAUUGCAGUUUUAUAGUGGUGCCCUUCUUUUACUUAAUUGUGAUCAGAAACAGUUGUUCUUUAGAGUUCAUUGGAUGCUAAAACUUGAUGUUUCCAUUUAUGUCAUGAUGAUCCUCUCCAUAGCAGAAUGCGAAAAUCUAGAAAGAUUGUGCAUCAGAUUGAGGCCCUUUCAACAUAAUGAGUGGUGGGCUAAUGACAACUAUUGUUAUUCAUGACAUGUUAUAGAUUGGAGGCUAUCUAACUUUGAAAAUGCUGUUGCCCGUGUCUUCCAGAUUUGACAUGGUAAUUACCCAUAACGAAGGAUAGCGAUUGAAGCACAGUUUUGGCGAUGGCAGGUCCACUUCCAAUACCCUGAUGAUGUUCCUGUAAUACGGGGCACAUGCCACUCACCAGUAUGGAGUCAACAAGAAAAGAUCAGGUUUUUCCUGCUAAGUGUCAGUUUUUGAUUUUGUAGGGAUUUCAAAGCUGGUAUCAGAUGCGUGUUCGGAUGAGAGGAUAAAUAGACAAAAAGGAGAGGUUUAUAUUUGACGAAUACCCUCGUCUCAUCCCUCUCAAAAGCAUGUAGACGACAAGGAAUAUGACGGGCCAGAAUUUGCAGAUGCUGUGAAUUGUGAUCCUGAGUAAAAGACAAUUUUGACAUAAAAGAAUCACGCAUGAUACCAAUAUCCAAUCCCAAUCCAAGUGAGCAUAUUCUUGUAGGCUUAGCCAACUAAUGUCCAAACACAACUCAACUCUGAGAACUUUUCUAAUCUCGCCGAUGGCUAUUGGCUUUCAAGGAACCAAGAAGUGAUUAAAUCUCAAUAUUGAAGACCAACGGAUGAAAACUUCCCAGGAAAUUAACCGACUAUUUCUUUAUGCAGAAGAAGAGAAACGAAAAUAUGCAGAUCUUCAAAACAAGAGGGCCAACCACAAAUUUUUUUUUUUUUUUAACAGAUGAUGUAUAGUUUUUUGAGUGGUCAACCUUCUAAAUCAUUUUGUUAAACAAAUUUUUCUGCAUAUGGCAAUCCACUAGCGAGUAUCAGUCAGAAACUUCUGACAUCAAUACACCUUCUGAAUGCCCCAGUUGGACCAUGCUGAUGUCAAUUUAGACACAGAAGCUUUGUCGGCCGAAUUUUAUCAUUUAAUGCCAUCACAGUUGCCUUUUGGGAGUAAAUCUAAGGCAAGAGAAGCUAUCCUCCAUGGAUGGUCCUGCGACUUCCAUCAAUCCAUCUCUUUCUCUGCUUUGUUCUAUGCAAUAGUAAUUCUUGCUGCUGAGUUCGGUAUGUGCUGGUCCAAAUGCUUCCUCGCACUUGUUCAGUUUAUUCCUUUCCUAUCCCUUUUAUCCUUCGUUUAACAAAGACCUAUAAGAAGUGAUCAUGGAAAAUAUGAAAUUUGCAAAUUAAAGCCUCUAAGCGGUUCAAUUAUCACAUCAUACUCUGAAAUUGCUAAGGACCAAACUGGUCAAUAAGGCCUUAUUAGUGAACCAGUCCUCAAUAAGGCCACGUUUAGUUCGAAAACGGUAAAUUAUUUAAUUUGGAUAGAGAAACUUACGUGUUUGGCAAGUAAUCGUUAAGCAAAAAAAUUUCUUAGUCAAAAUCAACGGUUACGUCAGCCUUUUUCGUCUAAAUUGAAUAUUUUACCGUUUUUUGACUAAAUGUGAUUCAAAAUAAUUAAUUUAUGUACUAAAUGUGAUGCGUUUAAAAAUGUGAGAACGAAAUGUGCCCCUAAUUCAAAGUUUCAGGACGAAAAAUGGAUUUUUUCCUUUUCUUUCCUGUGAUAAUUUUCACCCACUGCUCCUUGACAAAUUCUAAUGUUAACAAAGUUACCAAUUCGACUACCAAACCAUCCAUUUUUCUCGUAAUAUUUGGAGUCUCUCUUUAAAAGAAAAUUAGAAGAAAAAAAGGCAUACGCAAGACAUAAAGCAAUUUUUUUUUUAGAUAUUUAUCAUUUACACACUAAUUUAUUGACUACUUGAGAUUAAAAUAAUGGAAGAGACAAAUCGAAAGGACCCACCAAUUACCCCUUCUCAUCAUUGAAAAUAGACGAAAUCAGCAGCCUGACUAUUACAGGACGAGCAGUUUCAAAGAACCCAAAACCCGCGUGCAUUCCUUGCUACAGCCAAAUGCCGCCCUUACCAAUCCUUUUCCUUUAUAUUGCGAACCUCCCACAAUGAAAAGCUCACUUCACUUGGUGACUUUGCCAGCAAUAGGCUCACAUUUGUUUGUCCCUCUCUCUUCUGCCAGGAAAGAUGGACUUGUCUGGUGCAAAGGUUCAAGAGCUGAUGGAGUUUGGAAUACCAUUAAUUGAGGCACCAGUUGUAUCAGUAACAUUCACGGUAUUGGCUUUAUUGGCCGGGACUUUGUGGUACUUAUAUAGACCUUACUGGGCUGUCAGGAAAGUACCUGGUCCUCCGUCUCUGCCCCUAUUAGGACACCUUCCCUUGCUUGCUAAAUAUGGCCCUGACGUUUUUGCUGUUCUUGCCAAAACCUAUGGUCCUGUAUUCAGGUCAGUCAUUCUCUUCUGUCGUUCUCUUAUUCAGUUCAUUUAUCACCAAACUAUAGAAAGAAAAAAAUAAUAAAAAUACUGCCAUUUGUUACAAAGAGUAAAUCAUUAGGCAGCUUCUACCUUUGUUUCUUGCAUCUCCCAAUUCUGCAGCUUCUAACAUAGUCGUGCUCUUUGAGCUGAAAAUUUUCAUGGCUUUGACGGUUGACUUUUUGCAAGAAUGUUUCUUUUCCCAUUUUGCUGAUGUUAUAUCUUGACAUCUUAAUCACCAUCUUGUCUGUCGACGCUUGUGCUGACCCUUUUUACUUCUAAACGCAUAGGAUUUAGGUCCACUUGCUUGCUUGCUUCAAGAGAAUGAGGUCACUAAAGUAAUUACGUGGCUGACUGAAAAAAUCUGAUUAUAAGUGUUUUACUGAGUUUCUCAAUUGCAUCUUUUCUAGUGGGGUAAAAAGAGUUUGAUCUCUGCUGAAGAAAUUGCGGUUACUGUAAAACUCUUUUCCUCAGUGGUAACUCCACCUCAGUCUAUCAUGUCGGCUUCACGAAAGAUGACACAGUCUAUUCAUAGUCCCUGUACUCAAUCAGCCUGUUUGGUUGUACAAAAGUUUUUCUCAUCCUGAGAGGUAAAGGGACGAGUGCAAUAGAGUUGUUGUGAAUGAAUCUGAAGAUUGUCCAAAAGUCGACUUCAAAUUAUUUUUGUACACGUUGAACUUCACAUGAUAUGAGUCACAAGGAUUUUAGAACAACAUAGAACUGCAGUUGGUCGAAAAAGUAAUAGUAUUAGCUUUUUUAGAAUUCAAGCAAGAUUUCUGCCCCAGGAUCUGGUAUGUGACAUUGUGAACUGGUUGCCUAGAAUUACAGUUGCACCUAAAAAAUAAUGGUGUUUUGUAUUCAAUCAACAUUUUUUUACCCUGGAUCUGUUAUUCUUGUUCUGAGUGUAACAGUAGCUAUCCUUGGCCUUGCUGAUGCUACAGAAUUGUCUUGAAGUAAAUUGAUCCAUUGGUGCUGGAAAGCUCUUUAACUACUUUCGAGAAACAAUUUCAUGUUCAUCUCAUGCGUGCUUGCCUCGUAAUACUUUCAAUUGCAGGUUUCACAUGGGCAGACAGCCUCUGGUAAUUGUGGCUGAUCCAGAACUUUGCAGAGAAGUUGGGAUAAAGAAAUUCAAAGACAUCUCCAACAGAAGCAUUCCAUCUCCUAUAGCAGCAUCUCCCCUGCAUCAGAAGGGUCUCUUCUUCACCAGGUAAUGCAAUGACUAUGACUGUAAUAUGUUAAUUUCUCGCCUCCCCGAUCCAAAUAUAACUGAUCUAGUAUAAAAAGCAACAAAUAGACUUGGAUUGUGGUCAUUAAAUCUGUAUACUACUUGCAAUGAUGCUAAACUCCUGGGUAACUAAAAGCAAGAUGGCAACCGACUGCGAAAUAUGUAAUAAUAAGAAGAUAAACUUGGCAUUGGAUGUCUCAGUGAGAUAGGAACUAAGUUGUCGCAAUUAAUCAAGAUUAGGUUUCAUGAAAUUUAACGAAUCAUUAAAGACAUGUCACUUGCAACCUUUACAGGGAUGCUAGGUGGUCAACAAUGCGAAAUACCAUACUGUCGGUGUAUCAGCCAUCUCACCUUGCCAAGCUGAUACCAACAAUGCAAUCAUUUAUAGAAGCUGCAACUGAAAAUCUUGAAUCGCAAGGAGACAUGACUUUCUCUGAACUCUCCCUGAAAUUGGCUACAGAUGUUAUUGGACAAGCUGCUUUUGGAGUAGACUUUGGUCUCUCCAAGCCCAAAGCAGGCAAUGAAUCUGCCAAUAGAAUGAGCCACCAGCAAAAUGAUAUUGAAGUCCAAGACUUUAUCAAUCAACACAUAUAUUCUACAACACAGCUUAAGAUGGACUUGUCUGGAUCCUUUUCAAUCAUAUUGGGGCUGCUUGUUCCCAUACUACAAGAGCCAUUCCGCCAGAUUCUUAAAAGGAUACCUGGAACUAUGGACAGAAAAGUAGACCAAACCAACCAGAAUUUGACUCGCCGGCUUGAUGGAAUUGUGGCUAAGAGAAUGAAAGAAAAGAGCCUUGACUCAAAGGACUUUUUGUCGCUCAUAUUGCGUGCAAGGGAGUCAGAGACAACAUCAAGGAACUUCUUUACACUAGACUAUAUCAGUGCUGUAACUUAUGAACAUUUACUUGCUGGUUCAGCAACCACAUCAUUUACAUUAUCGACUAUUAUCUAUUUGGUGGCUGGACAUCCAGAAGUUGAGAAGAAAUUGCUGAAAGAGAUUGAUGAGUUUGGUCCUCGUGAUCAGAUGCCUACUGCCCAUGAUCUUCAACACAAUUUUCCAUAUCUUGAUCAGGUGACUUUGCCUGCCACUCCCAUUUUCACCAGAACUUUUAGUGGAAAAAUUCAUCAACAAAUUCAUACACAUAUUCAUAACUUUACGAGGAUCUUGGAUUUUAGUAGGAUUUCUAUUGUGCUCAACAAUCUAAUCAAAAUUGCAACUUCUUAUUUGUCAAAACUUGAUUCGUCUUCCCCAACUGAUGAAACCUGUGAUGUUCAAGAUCUCUUAUGAAUGAUGUAAUAAAGGAUUUUAUCUCAUUCUUCUUUUAAUUCUUUGACUCCAGGUGAUCAAAGAGGCAAUGAGGUUCUAUACAGUUUCCCCCUUAGUUGCAAGAGAAACAUCAGCAGAAGUAAAGAUUGGAGGUUAUAUCCUUCCAAAGGUUGGUUUUACUUCUAUCUCGCAAGGAUUAUGCUUAUAAGCUAUCGCACUUAUUUUAGAGAAGGAAUGGUUUAAUUUCAACAAUACUCCUCUAGGGCAUCUUUGAUGGUCUGGAAAGGCAUAUUCAGUUGAGUAACUUUGAGUUCAAUCAGUUUUAUAAAGUUAAAAUUCUUUAAGAUGUAAAGAAGCUGAAAAGUAGUGAACUCGUUGCAAGAAAUUCUGAAAUGGUGCAAUAGGAACUAGUGCAUUAUUUAUUGCAUAGUAGUUGUAUUAGAUCACUGAUAAUCGGUAAAUGGUUUCGAAGUAUCAUCUUAAGAUAAUGUCCUCUACCACAGGGUGGCUUCAUUUUUGUAGUUAAUUGUGAUAAAUUUCCCAUGGACAAAGCCCAAAAAAAUGGUAAUAGUACUUCUUUUUUAAUGCCAUGGAAUUGCUUGGUUGUAAGCCGGAGGAUACCCUAGAAGAUGAAAUUGUAUCAUCAAUUUUCAUUGGAAAUCUUUUUCUGAUAUCAUCCUUUCUUUGUUUUUCGUAAGCGAUGUCCUGAUUUAUCUCAUAAUAUGCAUAUGCAGGGUACAUGGGUUUGGCUGGCUCUUGGAGUUCUUGCUAAAGAUCCAAAAAAUUUUUCAGAACCAGACAAGUUCAAACCUGAGAGAUUUGAUCCAGACUGUGAAGAACAGAAGCAAAGGCAUCCUUAUGCAAAUAGUCCCUUUGGAAUAGGGCCACGAGCAUGCAUAGGCCAGAAAUUCUCCAUACAAGAACUUAAACUUUCGAUGAUUCAUCUGUACAGGAAGUAUAUAUUUCGUCAUUCUUCAGACAUGGAAAAACCUUUGGAACUUGACUAUGGCAUAGUACUGAACUUUAAGCAUGGUGUCAGGGUAAGAGCUAUCAAACGUACUUGAAUGACAAUAAACAAAGGAACAAGAAAAGAAAGAAAAUCAGCUUGGUGAUCGUUCCAUAUAAUGGUGAAUUUGAUUUUCCCAAUGUUACAAUGAUGAAUGAGCCAUUCUACGAAAUGCAUUCCAUGCAGCAGAUGAUCUUAUUAUGUACCUAGUUGGUUCCAGAGCAGAUGUUCAUGUGAUGGACCAAACACAGCUAUGAUCCUGCCAUCUUCUACAGGCAGGGUGGUAGCAGUCUGGUAGAUUGAGUAAUUUGGGAAAGUUGUGCUUUGGGGUCUUGCAAGGCUUUUGAGUCUUCCAUUGGACCCGAAAAAGAAAAGUUCUACUUUGUUCAAUGAUUCCACGGAUCUCUACUAAAUAUGCCAUAUUAGGGCUUUGUUUUGCUCCUGUUGUUUGCACUCUUAGCUUCCAUCAUACAGGUUAGUGAUUGCCAUACAAGCACGACUGCCGAUCAGCAAUAACAAAAAAAGAGUGAUACUACCCUUUUUUUUAUGCUUCUCUCUUUUUGUGGUUUUGGAAGGGGCAAGGUUUCAACUAAGGAAUAACAGCCAAAGAACCACUAACCAGUCAUUAGAUAUGUAUUAGCUAAACCGAAACUCAUCUCAAAUGCAAUCAUCCGCAUGAGAUCAUCAAUUGUUCUGAACAACUGAGUGCCAUAACGAAGUUAUCGUCUCCAAAAUCACAACUUACAUGAUAUCAAGAACCAAAGAUCACACACGUCCUAGUACUUCAACAAGGGGUUUUGGCACAUCAGAAAAAAAAAUUAGAGCAUUUGGAUAUAUAACAACAAGCUGUUGUAAACUACUUGCAACAAAUUUGAUGGUUGAAGAUCCUUAGCCUUCCCAUCCUACUGAUAAAAGCAAUUAUCCCUGAUGGUUGAAGAACCUUAGCCUUCCCUUCCCCUACUGAUAAAAGCAACUAUCCCUUUCUGUCAAGUUCAUUGAGAAUUUCUCCAUCCUAGUAGGCAGGCACAGAGGCCUAGAAAAGUGGACUGAAGAUGGAUCAGACCCAUUGCUGCUUUUGGAAUCACCAUUGGAGAAUGCUGAUGAUUUCUUGAGAAAUUGAAAUUCAUCCAUGGACUGCCUUAGAAUCCUUUGAUUUCUCCGUUUAGCUUUAGUUGAUUCAGUCAGGUUCAUGUAGCUAGGCCUACUGUUAUUCCUGUCCUCUGUCCUGUCUGACGUCAAAGGAGUAGUUCCAGAUAUAGGGGUUGUUGAUGUGCAUAUUGAAGAUGAAGCUGAGCUCUCAUCGUAUCUAAAUUCAGAACUCGGGCUCGAGGAUGAGCGAGUAGCUAAUCCAACUAAAGGAGGUUUUGCUGAAACCCUAGUAGUGACAUUGUUCCUCUUUACCUUCACUGAGCCAGGUUCAGAUGACCUUGAUCUGUUGUUACCCUUGGAAGAAUCCAAACAGGUCUUUGAAUGUGGAGUCUUUUCAGCAAUAUCGUUGUUGGCUUCUUCCAUCAGUCUGUUUUCCCAUGGUUUUGCUGCCAUCCAACGUUCCAACCAACUCCAUCCCCAGCUAUUCUUGUCAAGUUCAUGACUUUUAAGGGAGGGGACCGAGACAUAUGUUCGGGAAUCAAAAUUUUGGCUAAAUUUGCACUGCAAGGAAAGUCGAAGGAUUAUCCAUUUUCCUCCUUGUUAGGCAGAUUAAACAAAUUACGAAGUAAUAUUUGAAACUGUAAGCACCUUCUGGGCAAUAGAGUAAGCAAGUGCUCUCUCUCUCUUGAACAAUCCCUCUUGCCUCAUUUGUAUCUUUGUCUUAACCUCUUCUAGUGUUCCCCUACUAUCGCACCAUCCGUCCUGAAAUUCACAAAGAAUCAGAAAACUACUUCAGUUAAUUAAAUUAAAUUACAUAAACACCCCAAAGUAAUAAAAGAGGCAUCACCAGAUAUACUCGAAUAACAGCAAUAAGGGAAAUCUACCUCUGCUUGUUUCAAGCGAUCAGCUUUGCUGCGAUGCUCAUCUAGUAUUUUCUGCACAGCCUGUCCCUCUAUGGACAUUCUUACACGGCGAGCCCUAACCCGUGCCUGUACCCUGACCAGGGCCUGCAUGCACCUAAGGGUUACAGCAGCUUGCUUUCUCACCUGCCGGCCACGGACUAAAGCUUGGAGCCUCACCAGUCCUUUCAAGGCCCUCAAGGCUCUCCUUGCCUAAAAUCAUAAUUCAACACCACUUUCAGAUCCGACACCAAAUUAGAUGAAUUCAACUUAUAUCCUCAUCUACUGCUUUGAAUCAAGACAUGGCCACUCCAAUGAAUUAAUGCAUACAAGUUCAUACGACUAACACAUAAUGUAUAUGUAUUAAGUUGGAUAAACUUCUACAACCUCUUAUCAAUAACCCACACAAAUAUUAUUACAAGCACUUGAUAAAACAGAUAACAGGCCAUAAUUAACCAAUUAAAAUGAUAGGAAACGUUAGCAGAGUUCAAGGAAUGCCUAAGAUUAAAUUGCUGCAUUUUUUUCAUCUUGCGACCACCGCUGCUAGAUAGGCAAAAUCAGAGAGGGAGAGAGAGAGAUGGAUUACCAAAAAUCCACGAAAGGCAGUUUGGAUUCUGAUUGCAGCCCAUUCUUGCCUAACAACCCUGAAAUCUUUUGGAGGAGCUCUAACAACAGUAGCUACAGCAGCUGUGAAAGCAUCAUUAUUCACUGAUGAAGAAUCCGAGGCUUCUGAUCCACCACUGUUCCUACGAUGCCCUUUGAAUCCUUUCCAUGAUGAGGACCCACCCAGAUCCCCUGAUGAACUCCUCCAUAGCCUCCAUUUCUUGCCUUUUCCCCCCAACUUUUCCUACAGAAAAAGCCCAUGCAAAAAGCAAGCAAAAGACAUUCAAGACCAACUCACAGCACAUAUACAGAAAAAAGAUCAAAGUUAUGUGAAAUCCUUCGAGCUAAAAGCAGAAAGCAAAAUUGAAUCUUUUUAAAAAAUUUGAGCUUACAUAGUCAUCUUUUUCUGGUUUCUUGAAUCCUAUUAAAGCUUUUACCCAUUUUCCUGAAGCACCCAUCUGGGCUAAGCUCUUGAUCUACCAGAUUUCAGCUCAAAGAUCAAUCUUCCCUCAGAUAAAGGAAAAAAUAUAAGAAAAGGGACGACGCAAAGGAUGAAGAAAUAGCAGCUUCCCACCAGAUUAAAGCAAAGCAGCUAAAGCUCAAUUUUUAGCUAAGAAGAGAAAUUUUAAGAAGAAAAAAAGAGGGCAUUUAUGUAACUGAAAAAAAAAAAACAGACAAGCCCACAAUCAGGCAGAGAGAGAUAUAGGCAGAGAUUUAAUAGGGCAUAAAUAAAUUACUGCGUGUUUUCGUGGGUGAGUGGCAUGUGUGUUUUGUGUGUUGAGGAGGGGAGUGGGAUGGGGAAGUACAGCUAUUGGUCCUGGUGGUGGUGGUGGUCGUGGUGGGUGGUGUGGGCAGAGAGUUUCUCUGUCGCAUUGUCCAAUGAGCCGUUGGGUUUUGAUAUUUGAAAUUCAAAGAAAACAACGGACACCACUCCAGGACCCUAGGAGGAUCCGAGGACAUUGUUCCCGCUCGAAAUGUACGAGGAAAUGACAAGAAUGGGCUUGAAUGCUGCUGGAAAUACGACUCUGCGUUGUCCAUUGACCCUGCAGACAGGGCAGCCUAAAAAGGCACGAAGCUUUGUGGAAAGCUGAAAAAUAACACCAAAGACAUGCAGACAAAGAAUCUCUAAAGUCAGUGCGGUGAAGAUAUCUCUGCUGCCGUUUUAAUUUUAUCCAUCUUUCCAUCCGAAAACACCCCACUUUCGGAUCAAAUGGUCACCGAGCUUAAAUUUGAUUUGGAUUUUAUGGGGGAACAUUUAUCUUUCUGGGGUGGUCAACCUGAUCUUGCAAAAGGUUUCUCAUUUUCCAAAAUCAUGGUUAAAGUUUUCAAGAAAAAUGAAGUGAUGAUGGAAUGGAGUUAUAGACUUUCAAAGAAAACGGUUGAAAGAGUCCAUAAUUACCGGAAAUGACCAAUGAGACGUUUGGAUUGAACAUUAUUCGAAUUUUUUUUUUCCCUUCGUGUACUGUAACACAAUAAGGUGUUUGAUGUGAGUUAAAAAAAUGUGGUUUUGGGAAUAAUAAGAAGGAAUUUUUCCUUAUUUUUGGAAAAAAUUUCUUGUUUCGUGAUAAAUACUUGUUAAAUUAUUUUUUUAAUUAGCUUUUUCUUAUCUCCUACACAUUACAUCACAAAAAAUAUUACCAAAAUUAUUCAAAAAAAUUUCAAAUCAUCUUCACUCCAAAAUCACAACUUUGGAAUUCACACAAAUUAAAUCAAACUCUUUCUUGCAAAAACUUUAGAAAAUUAGCAUAAAUUGCUCUCACAUCUCUCACGUAUAAUGUUUAUUAACAUUUUUAUUUGGAAAAGUUGUUCAAAAUAUCUCUCGCAUGUCACUAAAUGAAUUUUUUUUUAUCAUUCACUUUUAAAAUAUUAACUUUACAUCCCUUACAUAUUCAAGUCAACAAAAUUUGGUCUUAACCUAAGUUUUCAAUCACUUUUUAGUUUGAUUUCACUAUGUGACCUGCAUGUAGUCAUUCUUUAUAUACAAAAAGGUUAGAUCCUACCGUUUUAAUGGUCACGGUCAAAAUAAUUAUGGAUUAAGUCAGACCCCACUUUUAGGGAAAAAACAAAUAUCAUUCAAAUUAGAUCGUACUAUUUAGGUUUAAAAAUAAAUAUGGAUCAGAUCAUUUAUUUAAUUACAAAUAUGUUCUAACUUUUUAAAUUUUAAAAAAAUGGUCGUAUGUGAGUCACAUGAUAAAUUCAAGAUAAAAGAUGGUCAAAAAUCACUAUUAGGAUCAAAAUUUAUCAAUUUAAUUUUAUAAAGGACGUAAAGUUAUCAUUUCAAAAGUGAAAGACGAAAAGAUUUAUUUAAUGAAAUAUAAUGGAUGUUUUGAAUAAUUUUCCAUUUUUAUUCCACAAAGAAAGUAUACCAUUUCAUAUUUUUAUAUAACCAAGACGAAACUGUAUUUUGUUUUUAAUUUUCCUCCAGCAGAUUGAAAGGGCAUCAUAUCACGGGUUUACUUCUUUUUUCUUUUUCAAAAAAAAAAAACAGUGGUCAACCAAGAACAUAUAUUUUUUUUCUUCUUCUUGUUUUCCUUCUACUUCCCCAUUAUUUUCGGUUUCCUUUCACCCAUGGGCUAUGCUAAAGUGAGAAGGGGAAGGAUUAGUAAUUUCACAUGAAAAUCAUGAUGGUAAAACAAAAAUAACUGCAUAGAUAGACACACCUUGUUUGGAUUGCUGUUUUCCGUCAAAAAAAUUACAUCGUUUUCCGUAAUCACAUUUUUCUAUUACCUUUUUCCCUCACAUACAUCAAAUCGCUACAGUAAUUUUUUCAUGAAAAAUCAUGAAAAAUGCAAUCCAAACACAAUUGCCGCCCAUUGAUGUUCUACAUUAUUGUCUGUUUCCUUUCGGAAAAAGAUAGGGAAGUACAUUAAACUCAAAUUAGUGCCGUCUCAAAAUUUUCAAGUGUAUAUUGCAUAAAAUUGGACACAGAAAAUGCUUACUAACUGGAAAGCGUGAAAGAGAAUAUGAGAAAAUAUCAAGGUUCAAAAAUGGCAGACUGCAAAGAAUGAAUUCUUUUAUUUACUUGGUAAAUUGGAGAACAGUUUAUUUGUCCAAGGGACAAGGAAGUCUUGAAAAAUAAACUACUACUACAAGGGAAAAAAAACAACAAAGAAGAACACUCCUUUUUGUGUCUUGCCUUCUGUUUUUUGGCCUUUAUUUUCAGUGCGGUCCAAUGCAGUUGAAGAAGAAGCAAAAUGAUUAGUCGAUCGAACACUAAAAAGUGUAAAAAUCCCUACUGUGAUCUUUGAAAAUUUGCCAAAUACAAAAAUUGUCGGGCAAUGAAACCGAGAUCACAACAACUUCAGUGAGAGUUCCUGUACUCAACUCUACCAUUCUAACUUCUUCAUUUGGCCUCUACCUUUUCGUCCCAUUGUGGUCUGCUGCGGUCCUCUUUCUAGUUUCAAAUGCAUCGCAUGGGUUUAUAAAAUUUUUUUCUUCUUUGAAUUUUGAAAGUGAAACAGGUUGGUGCCCUGACCCUGAAUUGAUUUUGGAUUCUUAUUUUAUUUUUACUCCAAAACAAAACACAAUAAUCUCUCUUCUUGUCAUGGAAAUCAAUUCUUGCACGAUCUCUGACUGGGUAAACUGGCAAAAAAAAAAAAAGACCCAUCAUGAUUCUUGAACCAUUCUACGCAUGCAAGUAGUAUUAAACAAAAAUUUUUGAAUGCAUGUAAAUUCCGUUCACAUUUAUUUAGUAAAAUAAAAACUAGUAACUUUUCAUCAUUUUUUCCCCUCGUCAUCUUGCAAGAAAUCAUCAAAUUUGUGUCAUUCUAAUUAGUUGACACAGUGAUAAGGAGAAAAAUAUGUUUGCAUGCCAGAAAAUGCACGAAUUACUGUGGUGAUGUAAUUGUUGUUUCCCCUAAUUGUUUGAACAUAUUAAAGGGAUAGCCCAUUUCUACACAUGGAGAAGAAAGCCAAAGUGUAGGAUCAGUCUGAGUUCUUUCCUUUGGCACUGUAUUCAAUUUGUCAAUUGAAACCUUUGGCCUUGUGGAGCUUGGAGUGGCAACUGGCAUAGAGUUGUUGGAAUGCUAGCCGUUUAGGAGCUUAAUGCAGAAACAUCUCAAGACGGACCGAAGCCUAUUGGGAGUGCGGGGAGGGGAAUACAGAAGCCUAAUUCGCGCCGGGGAACAAAAUAAUUAAUUAUCUCAGAGUUUGCUCUACCAACUAACUCUCCUGCCACCUAAAUAUUCGAUGUUUGACCGACAAAUUGACGUCUCCAUUCUACUGUCAAAAAGACGAUUUAUAGCUAACAAAUACACACACUAAUUCCGGAUAUACUACACGCAGUUACCUUGAAAUCCGAACAUGCCAACAAAAUGCUGCACAAACACACAGAUUUUAGAAAAAUUUCAUGCACUUUCGUGCGCAAGUUGAUGGAGAUUUGAGGCCAUUUCUUGUCUGCAGAUUGAUGGGGUUCUGUGUCGGAUGCUUUAAAUUUUCGGGACCAAUUCUCCUGGUCCUCAAGGUCGUGUCCUCAAGCUUCCCCACAAGGGGCUAGAUUCAACUCUAACCGGACAAAUCGUAGACCGUAAAACGGAUGCGAAUAUUUGUGGAUUAUAAAAACAAAAUGGUCUGCGUCCUCAGUACAAGUUUGUGAUGGAAUGAAAAAUCAUAAGACCCUAUUAACAAUAUGUAGUCUUAAAUUUUGGAUAACAGAGAGGGAAAGACGGACUAAAGGCAAUCUUUCAACGAGGUAGUUGUUGCAAUUUGCUUCACAAACUACAAAAUUAAGGCUGUUUCAAAUACAAUAAGAAUUCAAGAAUAAAGUCAUCUCUCUAAGCUAGUCCUCUUUCAAUUCACUGAGCUAAAAAGAACUGUUGACUGAGGGCAUAAAAAAGUGCCACAACGUCUUCAUCUUUGCAGACUCUUGAAGUCCACUUCAUGUACAACAAGAAUAAAAGAAUGAAACAAUUAAGGCUCCCUUUUGAGAACUCAAAUGAAAAAAAUAAAUAAAAUGAAACAGUUGAGAAUUUUGCAAGGGCUGCCAGGAGCGGCCUUGUACCCUCCAGGUGAUAGUGUAAGUCGUUCCUCUGCUGGGAUGGCAAUGCAGUAUUUAACUAGCAGAAGGAACAGACACCCUUGGGCUAGGAAGUCCCAUGUAUGAGAGCCUCGGUGACAUGCGAACUUUGGGACUUGGUCGCGGGGAAGGAAUGGGAAGCAGGGACCAUCAGAAUCGGUAGCAAUUGCAUCCAUAGCUGUUGCAGUUGUGGAAAGAUCUUGUAACUUCUCUUUCUUAGAUUUGGAUUCCUCAUCAACCUCUUGAAAUGAGGUCCUAGCAUCAUCAACUGUGUAGCGCUGCGGUACAAAUUGGACGAUGAGUCAUUUUGUCUAGCAGCAACUUGAACGUUAAUUAGCAGAACGAAUUAGACCAGCAUGUGGUUGUUGAUGUAGAUUUGACAAUUGCAAUUGAAGUUGGACAAUCAAAAACAGAUGCAAAUUGAUGAAACUAUGUUUCUGACCAAAUUCGCUCAUUAGCAAACAUUGAUGCAAGGUAAAAUAUAUUGCAGAGUGAUUACCUUGACAUUGCUCAAGUCUACAUGGUGCUCCUCAAGAAAGCUUAUGAAUUCCUUGAAAUUGUCUUCUGUUGGAAGAUAGUGACCACUGUAUGGCCAUAUUGCCUGAAGAAAAUGAGAAAAAUUAAAGCUUAAAUAAAGGCAAUGCAAUGUGUAUGUAACAAUGUGUAUCUUUUUCAUGCGCCUAAAAGAAUGCAUACUUCAAGAAUCCCAUCAUGAGCAACGAGUCUACCCGCUGCUGUUGUAGCUCCUCCAGAUAGAAAACUGGAAUGUUGAAAAGCACCCUUCUGCUUCUGUCCUACGUAUAGGGACCUUGAUGUGCUGAGAACAAAAAUCCACUUUGAACGGUCAUUUGUAUCCAGAAGCAUGCCAGUUUGCUUGUACGCUAACUUCCCAUCCUCCACAAUUACUUCAUAGGCUUCCCUCUCUUUCUGUUAGUACAAAUACAUGAAGAGUUUUAAAACCUAAUUCUUGCAUAUGCAUCAGUGAUACCAUUUAGUAUGUUUGUUACGUGCACAUAUUUGGUACAUCUAGUGAAGUAUUCAUAAUUGCAGCAAAGGAGAUGUGUGUUGCCUGAAAAAGAAGAGGAAAAAAAGCUUACAGGUCCAAGAUAUUUAAUAAAUUGGCGUUGCAUGUUAACUCUUGGACAGCUUGGAAGAUUCAGUUCUUUGCCACCACCAACGUCCAACCUUCAAGAAAAUUGGAGAUCUUAAGAACACAGGAAACCACUAUCGGAAGAUAUCAAGAACUUGUGCACAAAGAGGCAGUUUCGUCAUGGUAGUCUUACCAGUAGAAAAAGGGUUGAGAGCUUCUGCUUUCAGACCAUGCAUCAUAAUAGAAGUGCAAGUUGUGUCCGUACCUAUGCCGGGGAUCAAUCUGCAAAACCAAGAAGGGAAAUGCAUCAGUAUUGUACAAUUUCCACUUGUUCAGUGUAAAGUUCUUUAGCAUAUUUGAUAGUCUGAUCAGUAAGGAACCGCAUGUAUAUGAUGCAAUUUCAAUCAAUUCUUUCACCCUGUUUCAAGUUUCAACUCGUACUAGCCAGAACUCAAGACACUCCAAAAUUGUGUCCUUUGAUUACAAUAACACUCACAAGUUUGCUUGCAUGAAUUUUUAUCAACAAGUAUCAGAUAUUAACCGUUUAGAUGCCAUCACUUUUCAAUAAGAAUGCAAGGGCAUGCAGUUUGAUUAGCCAUCUCAUGCACUGUUCUCAUCUCUGUUCCUUGGGAUUUCAACUAAGAAAAAGAUAUAGGCGAGGACAAGCAUCCCCUAUUAGAUCUUCAGAGAACAUCAAUGCACCCGUGGUUAUGCUUUAAAAUCCUAUAUCCUAAUUUGAUCAACAUGAACAUUGUUUACGAAGGACGCACAAAAUAGAGGAAAGUUCUAAAAGAAGUUAUGAUCUUACAGCUUCAAGCCAAUGCUGUAGAGCUAACUUCUGAGCUUUUUCAUCCUUUAGUAAACCUUUUCCUACCUGUAAGCAUGUUCAUCAGUAGAGUGCAAUGGCUUUAAUGUCAGCCUUAGAAGUUAGCAAUAGCUUAAUGUGCCUAAUUGUUAUAGCAUACCUUGGCAGCCUUUGUCCUGCCACGUGCCCACCGUGCGACAGCAGUUUCAUGUUUGGUAAUGUCAAAGAAUGAUACGGAAUUUCGCUCUAGAGUUGCAAAAUCCAAGGCCUUCCACCUAAAGCAUUCAAGAAACAUAUGAGAAACCAAUAAACAUAAGCAGAAAAUGAUUAGUUAUUUCACAACAAAUUAAUAAUGAAGAGCUGACCAGAGUUCUUCAGCAACAACUGCACAAUCU